GACGAACGCUGGCGGCGUGCCUAAUACAUGCAAGUCGAACGCAGUGGGGACGGGUGAGUAACCCGUGGGUAACCUCCCAUCAGAGGGGAUAACACUUGGAAACAGGUGCUAAACCGAUACCUAUGGAUGGUCCCGCGGUGCAUUAGCUAGUUGGUGAUGUAACGGCUCACCAAGGCCACGAUGCAUAGCUGAGCUGAGAGGGUGAUCGGCCACACUGGGACGGAGACACGCCCAAGACUCCUACGGGAGGCAGCAGUCGGGAAUCUGCGGCAAUGGACGAAAGUCUGACCGAGCAACGCCGCGGGAGUGAAGAAUGUUUUCGGAUCGUAAAACUCUGUUGUUAGAGAAGCGGUAUCUAACCAGAAAGCCCCGGCUAACUACGUGCCAGCCGCCGCGGUAAUAC
rnacentral:rRNA from 1 species